rnacentral:rRNA from 1 species
AGUUUGAUCAUGGCUCAGAUUGAACGCUGGCGGCAUGCCUUACACAUGCAAGUCGAACGGCAGCACGGACUUCGGUCUGGUGGCGAGUGGCGAACGGGUGAGUAAUGUAUCGGAACGUACCUUUCAGUGGGGGAUAACGUAGCGAAAGUUACGCUAAUACCGCAUAUUCUGUGAGCAGGAAAGCAGGGGAUCGCAAGACCUUGCGCUGAUUGAGCGGCCGAUAUCAGAUUAGCUAGUUGGUGAGGUAAAGGCUCACCAAGGCGACGAUCUGUAGCGGGUCUGAGAGGACUAACCCCCCACACGGAUACUGAGACACGGAUCCGACUCCUACGGGAGGCAGCAGUAAGGAAUAUUGGACAAUGCCCGCAAGGGUGAUCCAGCCAUGCCGCGUGCAGGAAGACGGCCCUAUGGGUUGUAAACUGCUUUUAUACAAGAGAAAACCUUCGGUCGUGAACCGGAGCUGAUGGUACCGUAAGAAUAAGCAUCGGCUAACUCCGUG